GUAACAAGGUUUCCGUAGGUGAACCUGCGGAAGGAUCAUUACCUAGAGUUGUAGGCUUUGCCUGCUAUCUCUUACCCAUGUCUUUUAAGUACCUUCGUUUCCUCGGUGGGUUCGCCCGCCGACUGGACAAUUUAAACCAUUUGCAGUUGCAAUCAGCGUCUGAAAAACAUAAUAGUUACAACUUUCAACAACGGAUCUCUUGGUUCUGGCAUCGAUGAAGAACGCAGCGAAAUGCGAUAAGUAGUGUGAAUUGCAGAAUUCAGUGAAUCAUCGAAUCUUUGAACGCACAUUGCGCCCCUUGGUAUUCCAUGGGGCAUGCCUGUUCGAGCGUCAUUUGUACCUUCAAGCUCUGCUUGGUGUUGGGUGUUUGUCUCGCCUCUGCGUGUAGACUCGCCUCAAAACAAUUGGCAGCCGGCGUAUUGAUUUCGGAGCACAGUACAUCUCGCGCUCUGCACUCAAAACGACGACGUCCAAAAGUACAUUUUUACACUCUUGACCUCGGAUCAGGUA
rnacentral:rRNA from 1 species